rnacentral:snRNA from 1 species
AUACUUACCUGGCAGGGGUGAUACCAUAAUCAUAAAGGUGGUUUUCCCAGGGCAAGGCUUAUCCAUUGCACUCCGGAUGUGCUGACCCCUGCGAUUUCCCCAAAUGUGGGAAACUCGACUGCAUAAUUUGUGGUAGUGGAGGACUGUGUUCUUGCUCUUCCCUAUU